AUUGAACGCUGGCGGCAUGCUUUACACAUGCAAGUCGAACGGCAGCGCGGGCUUCGGCCUGGCGGCGAGUGGCGAACGGGUGAGUAAUACAUCGGAACGUGCCCAGUAGUGGGGGAUAGCUCGGCGAAAGCCGGAUUAAUACCGCAUACGACCUGAGGGUGAAAGCGGGGGAUCUUCGGACCUCGCGCUAUUGGAGCGGCCGAUGGCAGAUUAGCUAGUUGGUGGGGUAAAGGCCUACCAAGGCGGCGAUCUGUAGCUGGUCUGAGAGGACGACCAGCCACACUGGGACUGGGACACGGCCCAGACUCCUACGGGAGGCAGCAGUGGGGAAUGUUGGACAAUGGGCGAAAGCCUGAUCCAGCAAUGCCGCGUGUGUGAUGAAGGCCUUCGGGUUGUAAAGCACUUUUGGCGGGAACGAAAAGGACUGUGCCAAUACCACGGUUCGAUGACGGUACCCGCAGAAUAAGCACCGGCUAACUACGUG
rnacentral:rRNA from 1 species